GAUGAACGCUGGCGGCGUGCCUAAUACAUGCAAGUCGAGCGAACAGACGAGGAGCUUGCUCCUCUGACGUUAGCGGCGGACGGGUGAGUAACACGUGGACAACCUACCUAUAAGACUGGGAUAACUUCGGGAGACCGGAGCUAAUACCGGAUAAUAUAUUGAACCGUAUGGUUCAAUAGUGAAAGACGGUUUUGCUGUCACUUAUAGAUGGAUCCGCGCCGCAUUAGCUAGUUGGUAAGGUAACGGCUUACCAAGGCAACGAUGCGUAGCCGACCUGAGAGGGUGAUCGGCCACACUGGAACUGAGACACGGUCCAGACUCCUACGGGAGGCAGCAGUAGAGAAUCUUCCGCAAUGAGCGAAAGCCUGACGGAGCAACGCCGCGUGAGUGAUGAAGGUCUUCGGAUCGUAAAACUCUGUUAUUAGGGAAGAACAAAUGUGUAAGUAACUAUGCACGUCUUGACGGUACCUAAUCAGAAAGCCACGGCUAACUACGUG
rnacentral:rRNA from 1 species